UACGUAGGGAGCAAGCGUUGUCCGGAUUUAUUGGGCGUAAAGAGCUCGUAGGCGGUUUGUCGCGUCGGAUGUGAAAACCCAGGGCUCAACCCUGGGCCUGCAUUCGAUACGGGCAGACUAGAGUAUGGCAGGGGAGACUGGAAUUCCUGGUGUAGCGGUGAAAUGCGCAGAUAUCAGGAGGAACACCGGUGGCGAAGGCGGGUCUCUGGGCCAAAACUGACGCUGAGGAGCGAAAGCGUGGGGAGCGAACAGG
rnacentral:rRNA from 1 species